rnacentral:rRNA from 1 species
GCAAGCUGUUCGGGCGCAUGACGGAUGCCUAGGCGACGGCAGGCGAUGAAGGACGCGGCAAGCCGCGAUAGUCCAUGGGGAGUUGCAGGCGAACUUUGAUCCAUGGGUUUCCGAAUGGAGCAAUCCGGUGCGGGUCGUGCCGCACCAUCCCGCCCUGAAUCCAAUAGGGGCGGGAGGCGAGACCGGGGGAAGUGAAACAUCUCAGUACCCCGAGGAGAAGAAAUCAACAGAGAUUCCGCAAGUAGUGGCGAGCGAACGCGGAGGAGCCCAAACCGCCGGGCUUGCCCGGCGGGGUUGCGGGACGGCAUAGUCGGGAUUAGAUUCGAGCGCAACGGCCUGGAAAGGCCGGCCGCAGAGGGUGAGAGCCCCGUGCGCGAAGUUUCGAGUCCCGCGGCCGCAUCCCAAGUAGGGCGGGACACGUGAAACCCCGUCCGAAUCCGUGGAGCCCAUUCCACAAGGCUAAAUACUGUCCGCCGACCGAUAGUGCACCAGUACCGUGAGGGAAAGGUGAAAAGAACCCUUUUGAAGGGAGUGAAAAGACCCUGAAAUCAUGCGCCCCCGGACUGUGGGAGCCCUUUAUGGGUGACCGCAUGCCUUUUGCAUAAUGAGCCUGCGAGUUGCCCCGUGCCGCCAGGUUAAGCCCAUGGCGGAGCCGAAGCGAAAGCGAGUGCGAACAGCGCGUUUAGUGGCGCGGGGCAGACCCGAAGCCGGGUGAUCUAUCCGUGAGCAGGCCGAACCCCCGGUAACGCGGGGCGGAGGGCCGAACCAGUUGAUGUUGAAAAAUCUUUGGAUGACUUGCGGAUGGGGGCGAAAGACCAAUCAAACCCGGUGAUAGCUGGUUCUCUCCGAAAUAGCUUUAGGGCUAGCCCAGCGCGUUCCCCGACGGGGGUAGAGCGACCGGCUGACCGAGGAGCCCGACCGGGUUGCCGAAGUCGUCCGAACUCCGAAUACCGUCGGAUUGCAGCGCUGGAGUCAGACCGUGGGGGAUAAGCUCCGCGGUCGAAAGGGAAACAGCCCGGACCGCCGGCCAAGGCCCCCAAUAGCCCGCUUAGUGGAUUGUAAGGAUGUGGAGUUUCAUGGACAGCCAGGAUGUUGGCUUAGAGGCAGCCAUCAUUUGAAGAUUGCGUAACAGCUCACUGGCCGAGAGGCUCCGCGCCGAAAAUGAUCGGGACUCAAGCGGGCAGCCGAAGCCGCGGACUUGCACUUAGGUGCAUUUGGUAGGAGAGCGUCGCACGGGCGUCGAAGCGUCCCCGCGAGGGAGCGUGGAGCGCGUGCGAGCGACCAUGCAGGCAUGAGUAACGAAAAGGCGGGUGCGAAUCCCGCCCACCGCAAAUCCAAGGAUUCCUGGGCCAGGUUCGUCCUCCCAGGGUCAGCCGGGACCUAAGGCGAGGCCGAAAGGCGUAGCCGAUGGACAGCAGGCGAACAUUCCUGCGCCCGGCGCGCGAGCGAAGGCGGCGACGCGGCCGUGAGGCGGGUCCCCCCGUUGGUUGUGGGGGUCGCGCAAGCGGGAGCGGAGGCUUCGGCCGAAGCGAACCCCGUUCCACGGAAGCCGAGAAAAGUCGCCGUAGCGCCGGAGCGCGCCGGCCCGUACCGCAAACCGACACAGGUGGAUGGGUCGAGCAGACCAAGGUGCGCGAGAGAAACCACGUCAAGGAACUCGGCAAAAUAGUCCCGUAACCUCGGGAAAAGGGACGCUUCCGCGCAAAGGGAGACCGGCGACGCGGGAGCCGCAGUUAAAAGGCCCAGGCGACUGUUUAGCAAAAACACAGCACUCUGCCAAAUCCCAAGAUGACGCAUAGGGUGUGACACGUGACCAAUGCCGAAAGGUCAAGCGGAGGCGUCAGCCGCAAGGCGAAGCGCGGAGGCGAAGCCCCGGUGAAUGUCGGCCGUAACUAUAACGGUCCUAAGGUAGCGAAAUUCCUUGUCGGGCAAGUUCCGACCUGCACGAAUCGUGUAACGCUGUGGGCGCUGUCUCAACGAGGAUCUCGGUGAAGUUGUAGUGCCGGUGAAAAUGCCGGAUACCCGCAGAAGGACGGAAAGACCCCAUGAACCUUUACUGUA